rnacentral:lncRNA from 1 species
AGGGCGGGGAGUGAUCGCCGGUGCAGUGAGGCACGGACAAGGAGCGGCUCCUGGCAGGCUUCUAGGCGGAGGGUCACAUGAAUGAACCGAUCUCACACCCGAACAAGAGGUAUUUCGAGACUGUGUAGGGAUGGACUAUACAGUUGAGGAGGGCAUAUAUGAUUUGAUUGUACUACCCAUAACAACAAGUUGCAACUUCUUUUCGGGAGCCCAACUCAUAAGAACUCCAUGGUUAAGUGUGCUAGCCUUGGAGCAAUAUUAUGAUGGGUGACCUCCUGGGAAGCUUUCCCGGGAAGCGCGCGAGUGAGGAUAAAGCGCGCUGAAAAGACUCGUGUUGUUACCGUGAGGCCAGUCGUCAAGUCAGGAUGUUACAAAUGGUAUCAGAGCCGACCUCUCCCAGUACGGUGUGGUUCGGGGACGAACCAAGCGGAAGCUGGUGGGCCUGUGACGCCCGGGGCCGACGAGGGCGGGGAGUGAUCGCCGGUGCAGUGAGGCACGGACAAGGAGCGGCUCCUGGCAGGCUUCUAGGCGGAGGGUCACAUGAAUGAACCGAUCUCACACCCGAACAAGAGGUAUUCCGAGACUGUGUAGGGAUGGACUAUACAGUUGAGGAGGGCAUAUAUGAUUUGAUUGUACUACCCAUAACAACAAGUUGCAACUUCUUUUCGGGAGCCCAACUCAUAAGAACUCCAUGGUUAAGUGUGCUAGCCUUGGAGCAAUAUUAUGAUGGGUGACCUCCUG